rnacentral:lncRNA from 1 species
GGUUGAGCCAUUCAGAGGACUGGGGUUGGAUUCUCAGCAUCCAUGGGGUGGUUGCAAACCAUCUUAACUCCAGUUCCCGGGAACCUGACGCCCUCAUCUGGCCCCGACAGGCACGCCAGAUGUGCACACCGUGCAUUUACAUACAGGUUCACAGUCCAAUGCCUCCCAAACCAUCAACGAGUGUUGUGAAGAACACAAAAUUGAGUGAAACAGAAGUCAUGCAACCCUAGAAUCCCACCCUGACACUGACCUGGAAGUCUGCAGGGCAAACUGUCUUCCCCCUGCCUAAGUGCUUGGCUGACCGCA